AUGGGUCUCCAUUUUAGGGAUAAGGAAACCUGGGACACAGAGAGAUUGAGGGACUUACCCAAAUCCACACAGCUAACAGAGAGAGAAUCUGGACCCAGUUUUGCCUGCUUCCAAGAUUUUCAGAGAGGCUUCUCUGAACUCAGACUCCAAAAGGCAACUGUUCUAACACUGACCCACAUCUCUAGCUCCUAUAAUAGCCACAUUAUGGAACCAACCUCAGAGUCAAUCAACAGAUGAAUGGA
rnacentral:lncRNA from 1 species